rnacentral:rRNA from 1 species
CAAACGACUCUCGGCAACGGAUAUCUCGGCUCACGCAUCGAUGAAGAACGUAGCAAAAUGCGAUACUUGGUGUGAAUUGCAGAAUCCCGUGAACCAUCGAGUUUUUGAACGCAAGUUGCGCCCGAAGCCAUCCGGCUGAGGGCACGCCUGCCUGGGCGUCACGCA